AUUGAACGCUGGCGGCAGGCCUAACACAUGCAAGUCGGGCGAGCGGCGGACGGGUGAGUAAUGUAUGGGGAUCUGCCUGAUGGAGGGGGAUAACUACGGGAAACUGUAGCUAAUACCGCGUACCAUAGGAUGAGCCCAAGUGGGAUUAGGUAGUUGGUGGGGUAAAGGCUAACCAAGCCGACGAUCUCUAUCUGGUCUGAGAGGAUGACCAGCCACACUGGGACUGAGACACGGCCCAGACUCCUACGGGAGGCAGCAGUGGGGAAUAUUGCGCAAGGGGGGAAACCUGACGCAGCCACGCCGCGUGAAUGAAGAAGGCUUUCGGGUUGUAAAGUUCUUUGGGUAGCGAGGCGUUAACUACAGAAGAAGCACCGGCUAACUCCGUGCCAGCCGCCGCGGUAAUUC
rnacentral:rRNA from 1 species